UUAAUGUUUUGUAUUGUUAUUGCUUCAGUAGACAUAUUCUCUUUAAUUCUGGUAUUUUUACUAUUAUUUCAAUUUUAUAGCAUAAAAUAAUGAGUUAAUUGGUCAUUAUUUCUCGAAAAAUUUUGAAAUAAAUGAUAGCAAUAUGGAUUUUUUUUUGGAAAAUGGGUUAGAUGUUUGAGCAAUCCCAAUUUAGAGAUAAUUCAAGUAAAAAAUUUUUCAAGGGGUUAACUGGAGAAUAUUUGAACCCAUUAUAAUGAUUUUCAACAUAAAUCUUUUCCGAAGUAACAUUGCAUCUAGUUUAUUCUGGUCUUUGCAAUCUUUAUAUGGAAAGGCACAUUUUUGGAGCAACCAGUAAAAUAUUUGUGCAAUAUCUCCGCCACCAUAAUUCAGUCGCACCUGAAGAGACAAC